rnacentral:rRNA from 1 species
GAUGAACGCGGCGGCGUGCCUAAUACAUGCAAGUCGAGCGAACGGACGAGAAGCUUGCUUCUCUGAUGUUAGCGGCGGACGGGUGAGUAACACGUGGAUAACCUACCUAUAAGACUGGGAUAACUUCGGGAAACCGGAGCUAAUACCGGAUAAUAUUUUGAACCGCAUGGUUCAAAAGUGAAAGACGGUCUUGCUGUCACUUAUAGAUGGAUCCGCGCUGCAUUAGCUAGUUGGUAAGGUAACGGCUUACCAAGGCAACGAUGCAUAGCCGACCUGAGAGGGUGAUCGGCCACACUGGAACUGAGACGCGGUCCAGACUCCUACGGGAGGCAGCAGUAGGGAAUCUUCCGCAAUGGGCGAAAGCCUGACGGAGCAACGCCGCGUGAGUGAUGAAGGUCUUCGGAUCGUAAAACUCUGUUAUUAGGGAAGAACAUAUGUGUAAGUAACUGUGCACAUCUUGACGGUACCUAAUCAGAAAGCCACGGCUAACUACGUGCCAGCAGCCGCGGUAAUACGUAGGUGGCAAGCGUUAUCCGGAAUUAUUGGGCGUAAAGCGCGCGUAGGCGGUUUUUUAAGUCUGAUGUGAAAGCCCACGGCUCAACCGUGGAGGGUCAUUGGAAACUGGAAAACUUGAGUGCAGAAGAGGAAAGUGGAAUUCCAUGUGUAGCGGUGAAAUGCGCAGAGAUAUGGAGGAACACCAGUGGCGAAGGCGACUUUCUGGUCUGUAACUGACGCUGAUGUGCGAAAGCGUGGGGAUCAAACAGG